AGUCGAACGGCAGCACAGGGUAGCUUGCUAUCCGGGUGGCGAGUGGCGGACGGGUGAGUAACGCGUAGGAAUCUACCUUAUCGUGGGGGAUAACCCGGGGAAACCCGGGCUAAUACCGCAUACGCCCUACGGGGGAAAGCGGGGGACCUUCGGGCCUCGCGCGGAAAGAUGAGCCUGCGUCCUAUCAGGUAGUUGGUGAGGUAAUGGCUCACCAAGCCGACGACGGGUAGCUGGUCUGAGAGGACGACCAGCCACACUGGGACUGAGACACGGCCCAGACUCCUACGGGAGGCAGCAGUGGGGAAUAUUGGACAAUGGGGGAAACCCUGAUCCAGCAAUACCGCGUGUGUGAAGAAGGCCUUCGGGUUGUAAAGCACUUUUAGCAGGAAAGAAAGCCUGUACGCUAAUAUCGUAUGGUUUUGACGUUACCUGCAGAAAAAGCACCGGCUAACUCCGUGCCAGCAGCCGCGGUAAUACGGAGGGUGCAAGCGUUAAUCGGAAUUACUGGGCGUAAAGCGCGCGUAGGCGGCUUGUUAAGUCGAAUGUGAAAUCCCCGGGCUCAACCUGGGAACUGCAUCCGAUACUGGCUGGCUAGAGUGUGGUAGAGGGAAGUGGAAUUCCAGGUGUAGCGGUGAAAUGCGUAGAUAUCUGGGGGAACAUCAGUGGCGAAGGCGGCUUCCUGGACCAACACUGACGCUGAGGCGCGAAAGCGUGGGGAGCAAAUAGGAUUAGAUACCCUGGUAGUCCACGCCGUAAACGAUGUCAACUAGCCGUAGGGAGCAUCUGGCUCUUUGUGGCGCAGCUAACGCGAUAAGUUGACCGCCUGGGGAGUACGGCCGCAAGGCUAAAACUCAAAUGAAUUGACGGGGGCCCGCACAAGCGGUGGAGCAUGUGGU
rnacentral:rRNA from 1 species